rnacentral:tRNA from 1 species
GGCGGGGUGUCCGAGCGGUCUAUGGUAGCAGCCUCGAAAACUGCCGGGUGUUAAAAGCGCCCCCUGGGUUCGAAUCCCAGCCCCGCCGCCA